GGCAGCAGUAGGGAAUCUUCGGCAAUGGGCGAGAGCCUGACCGAGCAACGCCGCGUGAAUGAUGAAGGCCUUCGGGUUGUAAAAUUCUGUUAUAAGGGAAGAACGACUUUAGUAGGAAAUGGCUAGAGUGUGACGGUACCUUAUGAGAAAGCCACGGCUAACUACGUGCCAGCAGCCGCGGUAAUACGUAGGUGGCGAGCGUUAUCCGGAAUUAUUGGGCGUAAAGAGCGCGCAGGUGGUUGAUUAAGUCUGAUGUGAAAGCCCACGGCUUAACCGUGGAGGGUCAUUGGAAACUGGUCGACUUGAGUGCAGAAGAGGGAAGUGGAAUUCCAUGUGUAGCGGUGAAAUGCGUAGAGAUAUGGAGGAACACCAGUGGCGAAGGCGGCUUCCUGGUCUGUAACUGACACUGAGGCGCGAAAGCGUGGGGAGCAAACAGGAUUAGAUACCCUGGUAGUCCACGCCGUAAACGAUGAGUACUAAGUGU
rnacentral:rRNA from 1 species